GGUCGAAGAAGGUCCCGACCCGAAAUGUCAGCUUUCCUGCUCCUCUGACGCUGCCUGGCCUGCUGUGUUCCUCCAGCUCCACACUGUGUCAUCUUCUUGGCGUGCUGUUUUUCCUUCCAGGACUACUAGUUUCAUGCUAGACAUCUGAAGAUCUGCUGUUAUUGAUCUUCCACAGUUUUUGCUCAUGGUAAUGCCACUUAUUAAAACCAACCUAAUUCAGGCCCCAUUUGUAAAAUGGCACGUUGCUCACAAGUCCAGUGCUCCAUCUAUUGGCAUCGGUAGGCAAUUUCAGUUGAAGCCAGGAAGUAAACCUCAGGAAAACCAAUAGCUUACUGUCAAGCAUUGAAUUCUAUAAGUAAAUUAUCUUGCUGUGACAACAGACCCCUUUGUUUUAUUUAGCUUGAUGCUGCAUAUAAAUAGAGAAAAAAUCCAAAAACACAAACAACAUGAAGGACAUGCCCAUUAUCAACAGCAAUGCAAUACUUUAAACACGAUAGUAGAAAUAUAAGAGGGCAAAGGGUGACUUAAGCAGGCUAUAUCCAUUAAGAGUCACACCUCAUAACUUGUUGAACCAGUCAUUUGUUGACUUGAAUUACAAACAGUACCCUUUCCAAAUUAACAAUCUUUCUCAUGGCACAUAAAAAAUUCUUGAUCUUAUUCCCCUGUGAGUCUUGCUGGGCUCCCAGAAAAACUCAGGAGAAAUUACUGUUUAAAAAUAUUCGCCAAGACUCUAAAACAGAAACAUUCAACCAUCAUUGAUGCCAUUGCAUGGCAAUAUAUCUUAAAAAAACAAUUUCUCUUCUGAAUCAAUCCUGAAUUUACCUCAAACUGUGAUCUAGAUUACUCAGACCUUUCCUUAUGAAUCCUGCAUGCAUAUAUGCAUGAGUUAUAUUAAUUAUUAAAAUCAGUACUUAGGAGUAAAUCUAUGAUUCUUUUUAACUGAGAUAAUAGUAAUAUAUAAACAAAAGUGAUUUUGACAUUUCAAAAUUGUUCCCUACCAGGAAAUACGUUUAGUGAUGGUCCCCAACUUGAUUUAUCCAUUUCAGUUUGUCUCAGAACUCCCUUGAUGAGAUACUUUUCAUGAGACAACUCCCUUGAAAAGCUGCUGAUAAGAUAAAUUGAUUCCUACACAUCUAUAUUCACCCAUGCUGUUGAAAAAGCAUAUUACAGUAACCUAUCACUGAUUCCAGUAAGUGAUUUCACUACAAACUCUCACUGAAACCAAAGCUACAGGUAUUUGCUUUCUGAAACAUUUUCAUGCCCUGGCUUUCCUUGUAAAGCCUUAAAACUAAAAGCAAUCUGUAUCAUGAAUACUAAUCAAUGGCGCUGCACAAUGACUGAAAAUGGAGAGAGACAAUAAUGAAAUGUACACUGCAAGAUUCCACUGAUGGCUUAAUCACCAGCAUUUGAGACUUUCCCCAUUAUGCCUUGCUUUUCUACCCAAAAGCAACAAUAUGGAAAUAAAGAGAUAGCGAGAACUGCCGAUGCUGGAGUCAGAGAUAACACAGUGUGGAGCUGGAGGAAAACAGCAGG